GAUGAACGCUAGCGGCAGGCUUAACACAUGCAAGUCGAGGGACGGUAGCAAUACUGGACCGGCAAACGGGUGCGGAACACGUACGCAACUUACCCCAAACAGGUGAAUAGCCUUCGGAAACGAAGAUUAAUACACCGUAAGAUAUAGGAGUGGCAUCAUUUUUAUAUAAUAGCUCAGGCGGUUUGGGAUGGGCGUGCGCCUGAUUAGGUAGUUGGUGGGGUAACGGCUCACCAAGCCAACGAUCAGUAACUGGUGUGAGAGCACGACCAGUCACACGGGCACUGAGACACGGGCCCGACUCCUACGGGAGCAGCAGUGAGGAAUAUUGGGCAAUGGACGCAAGUCUGACCCAGCCAUGCCGCGUGAAGGAUGAAGGCGUUCUGCGUUGUAAACUUCUUUUAUCUGGGAAGAAACCUACGAUUUCUAUUGUAGCUGACGGUACCAGAGGAAUAAGCACCGGCUAACUCCGUG
rnacentral:rRNA from 1 species